rnacentral:rRNA from 1 species
AGUGAACGCUGGCGGUAGGCCUAACACAUGCAAGUCGAACGGCAGCACAGUAAGAGCUUGCUCUUACGGGUGGCGAGUGGCGGACGGGUGAGGAAUACAUCGGAAUCUACUUUUUCGUGGGGGAUAACGUAGGGAAACUUACGCUAAUACCGCAUACGACCUACGGGUGAAAGCAGGGGAUCUUCGGACCUUGCGCGAUUGAAUGAGCCGAUGUCGGAUUAGCUAGUUGGCGGGGUAAAGGCACACCAAGGCGACGAUCCGUAGCUGGUCUGAGAGGAUGAUCCGCCACACUGGAACUGAGACACGGUCCAGACUCCUACGGGAGGCAGCAGUGGGGAAUAUUGGACAAUGGGCGCAAGCCUGAUCCAGCCAUACCGCGUGGGUGAAGAAGGCCUUCGGGUUGUAAAGCCCUUUUGUUGGGAAAGAAAAGCAGCAGGUUAAUACCCCGCUGUUCUGACGGUACCCAAAGAAUAAGCACCGGCUAACUUCGUG